rnacentral:rRNA from 1 species
UAGGGAAUCUUCGGCAAUGGGGGCAACCCUGACCGAGCAACGCCGCGUGAGUGAAGAAGGUUUUCGGAUCGUAAAGCUCUGUUGUAAGAGAAGAACGUGUGUGAGAGUGGAAAGUUCACACAGUGACGGUAACUUACCAGAAAGGGACGGCUAACUACGUGCCAU